rnacentral:rRNA from 1 species
ACCCCAUGGAGCUUCAAACCCAAUUACACCCCUAACCCCUAUAACUACUUAACCCUUAGGAUUCUGUAUUAUUGGUUUUAGGUUGGGGCGACCACGGAGUACAACAAAACCUCCACAAUGAACGGAACUACUUCCUCAUCUGAGAGCUACACCUCUAAGAAUUAAAAUAUUAACAUAAAAUGAUCCAUUUUUGAUCAAUGAACCAAGUUACCCU